UAAGGAAUAUUGCUCAAUGGCCGAAAGGCUGAAGCAGCAACGCCGCGUGAAGGAUGAAUGGCCUUUGGCCUGUAAACUUCUGUAAAAAAGGGAAAAACUGUCAGGUAUAUCCUGAUUUGAUUGUACCUUUGAAGUAAGCCCCGGCUAACUACGUGCCAGCAGCCGCGGUAAUACGUAGGGGGCAAGCGUUGUCCGGAUUUACUGGGUGUAAAGGGUGCUCAGGCGGAUCUGUAAGUCAGUGGUGAAAUCCCGGAGCUUAACUCCGGAACUGCCAUUGAUACUGCAGGCCUCGAGUUCGGGAGAGGUUGAUGGAAUAUCUGGUGUAGCAGUGAAAUGCGUAGAUAUCAGAUAGAACACCAAUGGCGAAGGCAGUCAACUGGCCCGAUACUGACGCUAAAGC
rnacentral:rRNA from 1 species